rnacentral:rRNA from 1 species
GGAUAAUCUACCCUUAGGACCGGGAUAACCCUGGGAAACUGGGGAUAAUACUGGAUAGGCAAUUAUUCCUGUAAUGGUUUUUUGUUUAAAUGUUUUUUCGCCUAAGGAUGAGUCUGCGGCCGAUUAGGUAGUUGGUUAGGUAAUGGCUUACCAAGCCGUUGAUCGGUACGGGUUGUGAGAGCAAGAGCCCGGAGAUGGAACCUGAGACAAGGUUCCAGGCCCUACGGGGUGCAGCAGGCGCGAAACCUCCGCAAUGUGAGAAAUCGCGACGGGGGGAUCCCAAGUGCCAUUCUUAACGGGAUGGCUUUUCAUUAGUGUAAAGAGCUUUUGGAAUAAGAGCUGGGCAAGACCGGUGCCAGCCGCCGCGGUAACACCGGCAGCUCUAGUGGUAACAAUUUUUAUUGGGCCUAAAGCGUCCGUAGCCGGUUUAAUAAGUCUCUGGUGAAAUCCUGCAGCUUAACUGUGGGAAUUGCUGGAGAUACUAUUAGACUUGAGACCGGGAGAGGUUAGAGGUACUCCCAGGGUAGAGGUGAAAUUCUGUAAUCCUGGGAGGACCGCCUGUUGCGAAGGCGUCUAACUGGAACGGUUCUGACGGUGAGGGACGAAAGUUAGGGGCGCGAACCGGAUUAGAUACCCGGGUAGUCCUAACUGUAAACGAUGCGGACUUGGUGUUGGGGUGGCUUUGAGCUGCUUCAGUGCCGAAGGGAAGCUGUUAAGUCCGCCGCCUGGGAAGUACGGUCGCAAGACUGAA